CCCUCGGGGAGAGCUGUGGCUCUCGGCGGGAGGCUUGUGAGUACACACAGACUCUCUGGAGCCUCCCAUGUAAAUCCUGGCAGGACGCAGCCAGCUCUGAGCUCAUUCACGUCCCUCUUACAGCAGCACCGUGCCCAUGCGGCCACAGACAGCAUUCCCCAACCUCUGCAGACAGCUGGCAGGAACCUGCUGUCACACCCGGGUGCUCUGGCUCUGAUCCUGGGCAUGGCACGUGGGACACUGGGGAUGGCAGGGCUCCUUGGAGAAGCACUUUCCAGGGGAGAGGGGGCUGUGCCUCUGCCAGGGUGCUGGGGAUCCACGUGCCAGCCCGGUGGGAUCUCAUCCCUUUCAUCCUAGAAAACACUUAG
rnacentral:lncRNA from 1 species